AUUGAACGCUGGCGGCAGGCCUAACACAUGCAAGUCGAACGGUAGCACAGAGAGCUUGCUCUCGGGUGACGAGUGGCGGACGGGUGAGUAAUGUCUGGGAAACUGCCCGAUGGAGGGGGAUAACUACUGGAAACGGUAGCUAAUACCGCAUAACGUCGCAAGACCAAAGUGGGGGACCUUCGGGCCUCACACCAUCGGAUGUGCCCAGAUGGGAUUAGCUAGUAGGUGGGGUAAUGGCUCACCUAGGCGACGAUCCCUAGCUGGUCUGAGAGGAUGACCAGCCACACUGGAACUGAGACACGGUCCAGACUCCUACGGGAGGCAGCAGUGGGGAAUAUUGCACAAGGGGCGGAAGCCUGAUGCAGCCAUGCCGCGUGUAUGAAGAAGGCCUUCGGGUUGUAAAGUACUUUCAGCGGGGAGGAAGGCGGUGAAGUUAAUAACUUCACCGAUUGACGUUACCCGCAGAAGAAGCACCGGCUAACUCCGUGCCAGCCGCCGCCGUAA
rnacentral:rRNA from 1 species